rnacentral:rRNA from 1 species
GUGGGGAAUCUUGCGCAAUGGGGGAAACCCUGACGCAGCGACGCCGCGUGGGCGAUGAAGGCCUUCGGGUCGUAAAGCCCUGUCGAGCGGGACGAAACGCGCGAGCUCUAACAUAGCUCGCGUCUGACGGUACCGCUAAAGGAAGCCCCGGCUAACUCCGUGCCAGCAGCCGCGGUAAUACGGAGGGGGCUAGCGUUAUUCGGAAUUAUUGGGCGUAAAGGGCGUGUAGGCGGCUUUGUGUGUCCCAUGUGAAAGCCCUCGGCUCAACCGGGGAACUGCAUGGGAAACUGCAGAGCUUGAGUCCGGGAGAGGUGAGUGGAAUUCCCAGUGUAGCGGUGAAAUGCGUAGAUAUUGGGAGGAACACCGGUGGCGAAGGCGGCUCACUGGACCGGUACUGACGCUGAGACGCGAAAGCCAGGGGAGCAAACGGGAUUAGAUACCCUAGUAGUCC